UACGGAAGCAGCAGUGGGGAAUAUUGCACAAUGGGCGCAAGCCUGAUGCAGCCAUGCCGCGUGUAUGAAAAAGGCCUUCGGGUUGUAAAGUACUUUCAGUCGUGAGGAAGGUGUUAAGGUUAAUAACCUUAGCAAUUGACGUUAGCGACAGAAGAAGCACCGGCUAACUCCGUGCCAGCAGCCGCGGUAAUACGGAGGGUGCGAGCGUUAAUCGGAAUUACUGGGCUAAAGGGCACGCAGGCGGUUAAUUAAGUUGGAUGUGAAAUCCCCGGGCUUAACCUGGGAAUGGCAUUCAAGACUGGUUAGCUAGAGUCUUGUAGAGGGGGUAGAAUUCCAUGUGUAGCGGUGAAAUGCGUAGAGAUGUGGAGGAAUACCGGUGGCGAAGGCGGCCCCUGGACAAAGACUGACGCUCAUGUGCGAAAGCGUGGGGAGCAAACAGGGAUUAGAUACC
rnacentral:rRNA from 1 species